GGAGACUGUCAGACAAAUGCAUUAGAGUUCUGAACGGGCAAAACUAUAUGAAAGACCGCAGGAAAUUUCCAGGCCAGACUAUUCGUAAGCAGUACUACUGCAAAAAACUAAUGCAAAAAAGAGCGAGAGGACAAAAAAUCUUCGUGGAAAAGACUGCUGAAUGCGAUAUCAAAUGCUGCCGUAUGGGCGACGGUUCUAUGCUUGUAUGACGUUCAAAAUGUUGGAUGGCAUGACAUGCAUGCCUGGCAAGACUUGCAAAAGGGGAGUUUGCGGAUACCACUAACUGCUACACCGAGAAAUAGCCAUCUAUUUUCAAGUGAGAGUUGCUGCUUUGGAAGACAAACAAAGAUAUUCAACUACAA
rnacentral:lncRNA from 1 species